UAAUGUCACUUGAUCACUUCCAUUCCAUACCUUAUGUUUAGAACUUUAGAAGCGCGCACAGUCUCCACUCUCCUUAUUCAAAUUGAUAUUAUCUGAUCGAUUUCGCGUAACUUAGGGUUUUGCAUCGCAAUCCCCAAUUCACUUCCCAAUCAAAUUUCAAUUCCAAGUCAAAACAUGUCAAGCUCCAGGAACAAGUUGGAAAAUAAGGGAUUUUUCGCUUCAAUGUCGUCAAGCUUAUCAAUGUUCAGUAACGCCAUGCAUCGAUCCGUCAAUGGGUUAUUAGGUUAUGAGAAUUUGGAAGUUGUAAAUCCUGAAGGAGGUAAAGAUGAUGCAGAGGAAGAAGCACACAAAGGAAGGUGGAAGCAAGAGGAGAGAGAUAGUUACUGGAAAAUGAUGCAUAAGUAUAUUGGAUCUGAUGUAACAUCAAUGGUGACACUUCCAGUCAUAAUCUUUGAGCCUAUGACUAUGUUGCAGAAAAUGGCUGAGUUAAUGGAGUACUGCCACCUGUUGGAUCAGGCUAAUGAAUGCGAAGAUCCUUAUUUGCGAUUGGUUUAUGCGGCAUCUUGGGCAAUAUCUGUAUAUUAUGCAUUUCAGCGCACAUGGAAGCCUUUUAAUCCUAUUCUUGGUGAAACUUAUGAAAUGGUGAAUCAUAAUGGAAUUACUUUUCUUUCAGAGCAGGUGAGCCAUCAUCCUCCUAUGAGUGCUGGGCAUUGUGAAAAUGAGCAUUUUACAUAUGAUGUGACAUCCAAGCUGAAGACAAAAUUCUUAGGGAACUCCCUCGAUGUCUAUCCUGUUGGAAGGACACGCGUCACUCUUAAAAGAAGCGGUGUAGUGCUGGAUUUGGUUCCGCCACCUACUAAAGUGAACAACCUAAUUUUUGGUCGAACAUGGGUGGAUUCACCUGGAGAGAUGAUACUAACCAAUUUAACUACAGGAGAUAAAGUUGUGCUGUAUUUUCAGCCAUGUGGUUGGUUUGGGGCUGGUAGAUAUGAGGUGGAUGGUUAUGUAUACGAUGCUAAUGAGGAGCCUAAAUUGUUGAUGACCGGUAAAUGGAAUGAGUCAAUGAGUUAUCAACCCUGUGAUGCUGAAGGGGAACCUUUGCCUGGCACAGAACUGAAAGAGGUCUGGCAUCUGGCAGAUACCGCGAAAGAUGACAAAUUUCAAUAUACCUACUUUGCACAUAAGAUAAACAGUUUUGACACGGCACCAAAGAAGUUACUGGCUUCAGAUUCACGUUUACGGCCUGAUAGAUAUGCUCUUGAAAUGGGUGAUUUAUCUAAGUCUGGUACUGAAAAGAGCAGUUUGGAGGAGAGGCAGAGAGCAGAAAAAAGAAAUCGAGAAGCCAAGGGUGACCAGUUUUCUCCAAGAUGGUUCGAUCUAACCGAAGAGAUUGCAACUACCCCGUGGGGUGACAUGGAGGUUUACCAAUACAAUGGUAAAUAUACUGAACAUCGGGCAGCAAUAGAUAGCUUGGACAUUGUUGAGGUCGAAGAGUUCAAAACCAAGGAGUUUAACCCUUGGCAGUACAAUGAUUUUUCUGCUGCUUGAACCUUCAGGAAACACCUUGCUUUGGGCGCCAACCAAAACAAGGCCUUUCAGGAUCAAGUCUACUAAACUGCCCGGUCAAUUUUCAUAGUUGCAGCAUCCGGAAUAUAUUCACGCAGUUACAUCUAUAAACUGUUUUGAAUAUUUGGUUUGUAUUAAUUAACUAGAGCGAUAAUAGCCCUAUCUAUACAAGGAUUAAGAGGACUAAAUAAGGAAACUAAAUAUUCUAUGGAAUAAUUACAAAUCAUAAUAUUCUCUAAAAAUAUGCAUAAUAUAUUCCUAUGCUCCCCCUCAAGUUAGGUUGUCGGAUCACCGAUACCUAACUUGCACAAAGCAGCUUCAAAAGCUUCAACUGUGACUGCCUUUGUGAGAAUAUCAGCUAGUUGAUCUUUGGAUCGUACAAAUGGUUGCUUUAUAAAAUGUUUGUCUAUCUCCACAUGCUUUGUUCGAUCAUGUUGAACUGGGUUCUCUGAGAUGUUGAUGGCUGCUUGAUUAUCACAAAAUAAUUACAAGCUUCCUUUGGUGGGAAGUUCAAUUCGCACAAGAGUUUCUUGAGCCAUAAAAUCUCUGGUACUCCUUUGGCUAUUCCCCUAAACUCUGCUUCGGCACUUGAUAGAGCUAGUACCUUCUGUUUCUUACUUCUCCAGGUGACUAGGUUCCCUCCUACUAGGGUAAAGUACUCUGUGGUAGACUUUCUACUAUCCCGAUCUCCUACCCAGUCUGCAUUUGUGUAAGCCAUGAGAUCAAGAUGAUCAUUUUUCCUAAAGAAGACUCCUCUGCUACUAGUGCCCUUCAAAUAUCUAAGUGUCCUCAUUAUUGCCUCUGCUACUAGUGCCCUUCAAAUAUCUAAGUAUCCUCAUUAUUGCUUCCAUAUGUGGUACUUGUGGAAGAUGCAUGAAUCUACUAACUACCCCAACAUCAUAUGAAAUAUCAGGUCUAGUAUGGGAUAGGUAGAUGAGUUUUCCCACCAACUUUUGAUAUUGUUCUUUAUCGGCUAAUUUUCCAUCUUGUACUGUCUGAAGCCUAUGGUUGGCAACAAUUGGGUUUUCAGCUGGCUUACAAUCAAGCAUCCCAUUUUCUGCUAGGAGAUCAAGUAUGUACUUCUUUUGAUCGAUGGAGAUUUCUCGUUUUGACCUUAAAACUUCAAUCCCGAGGAAAUAUUUCAGGUUUCCUAGGUCUUUCAUUUCGAACUCCAUAAACAACUUCUUCAGAUUACUAAUCUCUUCUUCAUUGUUCCCAGUGAUAACCAUAUUGUCAACAUAGAUUAUCAAACAGGUAAUCCUUCCUUUCUCUUUAUUCAAGAACAAAGUGUGAUCAGAGUUGCUUUGCUUGUACCCAAAUUUCUUCAUUGUUGUAGUAAACCUACCAAACCAUGCUCGCGGAGAUUGUUUCAAACCAUACAACGUUAUUUUGAGUCUACACCCUUCUCUUGAUCCAUACUCAUCUGAGAACCCCGUUGGUGCUUUGAUAUAGACUUCUUCAAUUUCACCAUGGAGGAAGGCGUUUUUUACAUCGAAUUGGUAUUACAGUCAAUCUUUAUUUGCAGCUACUGAGAACAGGACUCUGAUUGUAUCAAUUUUGGCAACCGGGGAAAAAGUUUCUGAGUAGUCUACCCGGUAUGUCUGAGUAUACCCUUAAGCUACCAGUCGGGCUUUGUAUCUCUCGAUGUUCCUAUCGGCAUGAUAUUUGAUCGAGAACACCCAUUUACAGCCUACUGUUUUCUUCCCUUUGGGUAACUUAUAUUUCUCCCAUUUGUUGUUCCUUUUGAGGGCUGAUAUUUCAUCUUCCAUAGCCCUCUUCCAUUUCGGAUUCCGAAGUGCUUCUUCAUCGUUCCGGGGUAUAAAACUCGAAUACAAGGCGGCAUUAAAAGCAACAGCAGAUUGGAAAAGAUUAUUAACAUUAUCCUGAUUAAUGGGGUAUCGAGAUCGCUGUGCUUCAAACUCAGGGUCAUAUCUCUUUGGAGGAAUACCCCUCGUAUUCCUUGGGGGCAACUCAUAUUUGCGAGGUGACGCAACAUUAGAAACAUCAUUAGCAAUAUCAAACAAAGGCUUAGGAAUUACCUCUCCCUAGAUGCUUCAGACAUGACAAAAGUAAUCUGAGGAGGAGGAUGUAAUAUAUCUUCAGUGGCAACAGUUGUGAGAUUACCUAUUUGCUAUGUAGGGUCAUGAUCAAUUAUAGGAUCUAGAUUGAUAACAGUAGGAUAUACUAGCCAACUUAAGUCAUCACCACUCAUAGUCUCCCCCUGAGGACUAAGCUAGGGGUAGUAGUAUGAACUCUCAAAGAAGUCGCAGUCCAUGGUGGUAUAGAGUUUGUUGUGGAUUGAAUUAAAACAUCGAUAGCCUUUCUGAUUCACCCCAUACCCAAUAUGAGGUUCAAGUUUAUUCCGAGCUUGUUUGGGAAGGUGAACAUAUACAACCCAACCAAAUAUACAAGGAGGUAGGGAAUGAGAAGAUGGAAUAGUAGUAUGGGUUUGAAGUGUUUCCAAUGGAGUUUUGAAGUGGAGAGCUUUUGUGGGAAGGCGAUUAGUUAGGUAAGUAGCAGUGGCAACUUCUUCUGGCCAAAAAUGAGCUAGGACAUGAGCUUCAAACAUAAGUGCUCGGGUUAUCUCAAGGAGUAUGCGGUUUUUUCACUCAGCAACCCCGUUCUGUUGUGGAUUGUUUGGGCAAGUGGUCUGAUGAAUUAAGCCAUGAGUUGAGAUGAGGUGUUUCAUGUCCAAGUUUAUGUUUUCCCCCCAUUGUCUGACCGGAGAAUUUGAGGUUGAGCUUGGAAUUGAGUUAUGAGUAUGUUAUAUAAUUUCACAAAAACAUCGAAGACCUCAGAUUUAUGUUUCAAGAAGUACACCCAACUCAUGCGAGUACAAUCAUCCACAAACAAAAUAAAGUACGAAAGCCCAUGUGUAUUAGAUUCAGGAGCUAGACCCCAAACAUCAGAAUGAAUCAAAGCAAACGGUUUUAUACUGUGAGUCAGACUCGGAAAAUAAGUGUGCUUAUGAAUCUUUGCUAGGACACAUGCCUCACAAUCCAGAGGUGCAUUACAAUUAUUAAGAGAUCGGAAAAAGACAUUUCAAAUACCCCAAUGAAGGAUGACCAAGACGACUAUGCCACAUCCACAUUUGAUGAUCGGGUGACCCAUGAGCAAGCAAAGUGUAACCCUUUUGAGUCACCUCAUCCACAUAGUACAAGCCUCCCCUUUUAGUAUCACGACCGAUGAUCUUUCCUGUCUGAGCAUCCUAUAUAACACAAUCAGUCGAAGACAAAAGAACAGUGCAAUUAAGCUCUUUAGUUAAUUGACUAACAGAAAGUAAUUUAUGAGAAAGAUUAGGAACGAGGAGACAAUUUUUCAAAUGUAGAGAGGGAGAAAUAUCAGUAGUCCCAGCCUGGGUAGCAUUAACACGUUCCCGUUGGCCAUUUGAAUAUGCGUUUGGUGUGUGUAGGAAGGAGAAAUAAUAUCAGAGGGAUCAUAAGUCAUGGUGUCUGUGCCCAACAAUCAAAGAUCCAAGAGGAUUGAGUUGGUUUGCAAUGGGAGCCCAAACUUGCUGCAUUGGCUUUAAGGAAAUGGAAUGGGCUUGCCCAUGGGUUUGUUGUGGGUAAAUGGAAGGGUUUAGGAUAAAUAGAUCCGUGAAUGCCUCCAUAAACAAAAAGGCUGAUUUUAAUUUGCUUUUUCCUUCCCCUUGAGUCAAAUUUUCUCUCUCCUCCCUUAUACAUUUGAGUUGCUGGGCUAAAUCAUUUUCUUUGAAAAUGGUAAUUUCAUCUCUCUUAUCCCGAGCCAUUCUUCGUAACUCUUUUUCUCCUUCACCCACCACUUAAUUUUCUCUCUCCUUCCUUAUGUUUUCCAUUGUCUAUGGUUUCUCCUUCCAUGUUUUCAAUCCAGUUGGUGGGUAGGCAUUCGAAAACAAGGUAGCAUGAUGUGUCUUGCCACCGGUUCAGAUCUUCGGUACCUUGGAGGCGGCCAUCCAACUUGUUCUCUGAUUCAAAAGGCCAUUUCCCAUCCGGCAAAGGAAGAAAAUGGGUCGGGUUUUUUGUUGCUUUGAUUUUCUGGGUAUUUGGUCUUUCGAUAUUCUGGAUCUUGGUUUAGGGAUUUGGUUUUUAAUUUUGGGUAAUAAGACACCGGUGGUAGAUACCUCUUUGUCGGUGUUUAACCACUUCAGUUGCGACAAAGGGUUCGGUGAUGUAUGCCGGAUUCCAAUUUCCAUUAUAGGUGCAGCAUCUUCUAGACUUCAAAUUGCAUAAGUCAUAUGGUGAAUUCAUCCAAAGGAUGUUAUAAUCUCUCUUGUCAGACAAUUUGAAGCUGCGAGAAGUAGAUAGACAUGUAUUCUACAUUUGAGAUUUGUAAAUCCAUCAUCAUUAAGAAGAUUUCUUCAAACAAAAUCAACAGAAACACUUAUGAAGCAUUCCUCCCUGGUUUGCAUCCUCUGCCGUGUUCAUCCAUAAGUUUUGGAUGAUUUUUUGGUUAAUCUCGGGUGUUUUAAUAGUUUCGGAAACCAACUUUUUAUCUGUCCAAAUUAAUUAUUGCUUUUUAAUGGUAUUCUAGCUUUUGGUUGUGUAAAACAACUAAUGGGAAACGUUUCCUCUUGUUCAAUCUUUAUGUUGAUGGUCAAUGUUUAGUCAUUGUUUACCAUGA